rnacentral:rRNA from 1 species
CCUGCGGCUGCAGCAGUGGGGAAUAUUGCACAAUGGGGGAAACCCUGAUGCAGCGACGCCGCGUGAAGGAAGAAGUAUUUUGGUAUGUAAACUUCUAUCAGCAGGGAAGAAAAUGACGGUACCUGACUAAGAAGCCCCGGCUAACUACGUGCCAGCAGCCGCGGUAAUACGUAGGGGGCAAGCGUUAUCCGGGUUUACUGGGUGUAAAGGGAGCGUAGGCGGCGAUGCAAGUCAGAAGUGAAAGCCCGGGGCUCAACUCCGGGACUGCUUUUGAAACUGUGUUGCUAGAUUGCAGGAGAGGUAAGUGGAAUUCCUAGUGUAGCGGUGAAAUGCGUAGAUAUUAGGAGGAACACCAGUGGCGAAGGCGGCUUACUGGACUGUAAAUGACGCUGAGGCUCGAAAGCGUGGGGAGCAAACAGGAUUAGAUACCCCUGUAGUC